GGCGGGGGCAGGGGCAGGGGCGGGGGCGGCGUCGCCGCGGUGCUGUCCCCGCGAGGCCGCGGAGGGCGCCGUGGGCCAGCCGCCGCUCGGAGCAGCGCGUCCCGGACGGCGUGCGGGCGUGCGGGCGCGGGGCGACGGCAGCCCCGCAGCGACAUGUGACCAUGGACCGCAGGACCAGGGAAAAUCCAGAAAGAACUUUUGACUUGGUAUUGAAAGUGAAGUGUCAUGCCUCUGAAAAUGAAGGUAUGUGUGUUUCUUUACUCCCAACGUAAUCGAGUGUGUCCAGACAAGUGUUCCUACUGUGUUCUGCCGGAGCAUGAUAGUGUCAGGAACCUGAUAGCUCCAGGUGUCUAUUCCACUAUCUCAAAUUGCUAGUGGUAAAAGAGAGCUAGGCCUUUGCUUUGGGGUUGUAGAAAUCACGGAUGCUAUCUGUGCAGCUUGGAUUUCAACCUGC
rnacentral:lncRNA from 1 species